rnacentral:SRP_RNA from 1 species
GCCAGGUGACACACACCUGUUGUCCCAGUUACUCAGGAUGCUGAAGCAGGAGGAACAAUUGAGCCCAGGAGUUCUGGGUUGCAUGCACUAUGCUGAUCAAGUGUCUGCACUAAGUUUGGCAUCGAUAUGUUAGCUUCCAGAGAGCAGAGGACCACCAGGUUGCUUAAGGUUUGGUGAACCAGCUCAACUCAAAAAUUGAGCAGGAUAAAACUCCUCUGCUUAUCAGCAGUUUUAUCAAAGGGAUAAGUCCUUUGAAUAGUUACUGCACUACAACCUGGGCAACAUAGUGAGACCCUAUUUCU